rnacentral:rRNA from 1 species
UUAAAUUGAAGAGUUUGAUCAUGGCUCAGAUUGAACGCUGGCGGCAGGCCUAACACAUGCAAGUCGAGCGGUAGCACAGAGAGCUUGCUCUCGGGUGACGAGCGGCGGACGGGUGAGUAAUGUCUGGGAAACUGCCUGAUGGAGGGGGAUAACUACUGGAAACGGUAGCUAAUACCGCAUAAUGUCGCAAGACCAAAGUGGGGGACCUUCGGGCCUCAUGCCAUCAGAUGUGCCCAGAUGGGAUUAGCUAGUAGGUGGGGUAACGGCUCACCUAGGCGACGAUCCCUAGCUGGUCUGAGAGGAUGACCAGCCACACUGGAACUGAGACACGGUCCAGACUCCUACGGGAGGCAGCAGUGGGGAAUAUUGCACAAUGGGCGCAAGCCUGAUGCAGCCAUGCCGCGUGUGUGAAGAAGGCCUUCGGGUUGUAAAGCACUUUCAGCGGGGAGGAAGGCGGUGAGGUUAAUAACCUCAUCGAUUGACGUUACCCGCAGAAGAAGCACCGGCUAACUCCGUGCCAGCAGCCGCGGUAAUACGGAGGGUGCAAGCGUUAAUCGGAAUUACUGGGCGUAAAGCGCACGCAGGCGGUCUGUCAAGUCGGAUGUGAAAUCCCCGGGCUUAACCUGGGAACUGCAUUCGAAACUGGCAGGCUAGAGUCUUGUAGAGGGGGGUAGAAUUCCAGGUGUAGCGGUGAAAUGCGUAGAGAUCUGGAGGAAUACCGGUGGCGAAGGCGGCCCCCUGGACAAAGACUGACGCUCAGGUGCGAAAGCGUGGGGAGCAAACAGGAUUAGAUACCCUGGUAGUCCACGCCGUAAACGAUGUCGAUUUGGAGGUUGUGCCCUUGAGGCGUGGCUUCCGGAGCUAACGCGUUAAAUCGACCGCCUGGGGAGUACGGCCGCAAGGUUAAAACUCAAAUGAAUUGACGGGGGCCCGCACAAGCGGUGGAGCAUGUGGUUUAAUUCGAUGCAACGCGAAGAACCUUACCUGGUCUUGACAUCCACAGAACUUUCCAGAGAUGGAUUGGUGCCUUCGGGAACUGUGAGACAGGUGCUGCAUGGCUGUCGUCAGCUCGUGUUGUGAAAUGUUGGGUUAAGUCCCGCAACGAGCGCAACCCUUAUCCUUUGUUGCCAGCGGUCCGGCCGGGAACUCAAAGGAGACUGCCAGUGAUAAACUGGAGGAAGGUGGGGAUGACGUCAAGUCAUCAUGGCCCUUACGACCAGGGCUACACACGUGCUACAAUGGCAUAUACAAAGAGAAGCGACCUCGCGAGAGCAAGCGGACCUCAUAAAGUAUGUCGUAGUCCGGAUUGGAGUCUGCAACUCGACUCCAUGAAGUCGGAAUCGCUAGUAAUCGUAGAUCAGAAUGCUACGGUGAAUACGUUCCCGGGCCUUGUACACACCGCCCGUCACACCAUGGGAGUGGGUUGCAAAAGAAGUAGGUAGCUUAACCUUCGGGAGGGCGCUUACCACUUUGUGAUUCAUGACUGGGGUGAAGUCGUAACAAGGUAACCG